UCGAGAAUCUUCGGCAAUGGGCGCAAGCCUGACCGAGCGACGCCGCGUGCGGGAUGAAGGCCUUCGGGUUGUAAACCGCUGUCGGAGAGGCGGAAAUCUCUAGGGGUUCUCCCCUGGAGUUGACCUAAUCUCGGAGGAAGUCCGGGCUAAGUUCGUGCCAGCAGCCGCGGUAAUACGGACCGGACAAACGUUAUUCGGAAUCACUGGGCUUAAAGAGUACGUAGGCGGCUCAGAAAGUUGGGUGUGAAAUCCCUCGGCUCAACCGAGGAAUUGCGCUCAAAACUACUGAGCUUGAGGAAGGUAGGGGUAAGCGGAACUGAUGGUGGAGCGGUGAAAUGCGUUGAUAUCAUCAGGAACACCAGUGGCGAAGGCGGCUUACUGGGCCUUUUCUGACGCUGAG
rnacentral:rRNA from 1 species